UGUGGCAUGUCUGACGCACCUCCUAAGCCAGCCGCUGGCUGCUCCUGUCCCUGUUUACUCCUCUGGCACUGGCUUCUAAGGCAGGGGCGGGAGCUGGAGGGAGAGACAGCGUUAGAUUUCCCAGGAAGAAAAGGAUUCCAUGACUCUAAGAAGUCCUAAAACCAAUGAUCUAUCCAGCAGUCAUUCUCAAAGCUGCCUGUGCAUCGGGAUCAACUGGGUGACUUGUCCUCUCCCAUAGCCAGUAAGGCUGAAGAAGUCCUGAAGAAGUGCUGGACUUGCCCUUCAACAUCCAGAGGUGCCCUUCCAGGCUCUACUUCCCUCGUCCUCUGCUGGGCUGCCACCAGUUCACCGGGUUGCUGGGAGGACUGAUAACAGCAUGUGUGGUGGUUGACAUGUGCUGUUGUCUGCCCAUCACCCAUUUCCCCUGCAUCUAAUUACAGAAUGCCCCUUGUCCCUUAGGCACCCACCCUUUCCCACUCUCAAGUCAUGUGGUAUAAGCAACACUAACCCUCAUGGUACCCCCAAUUCUAAUGGGGUCUCUUCCCCUGCAUCCUGGGGUGUGUGACUUGGGCCUGUUCAAUCUCUGUGUUCCAUGCCUCUUGCCACAAGACUUGAUUUGAGAUGGACAACAAACCCAGUCUAUUCUAUAAGAGUCAAUUCCUGGACCUUGGGCUCAAACUCUUGGGGGAGAGAAAUUCUGUUUCUAGUAGGGUUGUCGAGCUGCAAGAUUUGAGUCUGGAGCUUUCAACAACCAUUUUGCAGCUUCCUAGGGGAAAGCUAGUCUGAGAAUGAAGUUAGCACAGAGCCAAGGGACCAAGACACAGAGACCCUAAGCUGCUGGAUCCAACUGGGCCUGAUGCCAGACAACCCUGUACAUCUCAGUCACAUGAACCAAUAAAUUUUCCUUUCU